rnacentral:rRNA from 1 species
UGGGGAAUAUUGCACAAUGGGCGCAAGCCUGAUGCAGCCAUGCCGCGUGUAUGAAGAAGGCCUUCGGGUUGUAAAGUACUUUCAGUCGGGAGGAAGGUGGUAAGGUUAAUAAUCUUAUCAAUUGACGUUACCGACAGAAGAAGCACCGGCUAACUCCGUGCCAGCAGCCGCGGUAAUACGGAGGGUGCAAGCGUUAAUCGGAAUUACUGGGCGUAAAGCGCACGCAGGCGGUUGAUUGAGUCAGAUGUGAAAUCCCCGGGCUUAACCCGGGAAUUGCAUCUGAUACUGGUCAGCUAGAGUCUUGUAGAGGGGGGUAGAAUUCCAGGUGUAGCGGUGAAAUGCGUAGAGAUCUGGAGGAAUACCGGUGGCGAAGGCGGCCCCCUGGACGAAGACUGACGCUCAGGUGCGAAAGCGUGGGGAGCAAACAGG